CUACCAUUACCAUAUGCGGAUUGCGGGCGAGAUUCUCCGGCAGCUGUAGGAUCAGGGUGGUUAAACUUGCAGUUUGUUUCAUACUUGCAGGUGCCAGUUCGCAUAUAGUAGGGACAAUCUUUCUCCCCCUGUAAUACGUUAAAACAAUUAUUCAGCAAACAUAUGGACACAUUAAAUAGCUCCAACAGACUAAGAAAAUAAGCAAAGAUAAAAUCUUAAAUCUUAAGCAUCAUGAAUAAGCAAAGAUAAAAUCUUAAAUCUUAAGCAUCAUGAAUAGAUAGUUAUUCAUUCCUCAAAUUUUUGCAGAUCAAAUCUAGAGCUUACCGGACGAAUUGGCAGGCCCGAAAAGUUAAGUUCCAGAGCUGGAGCUACAGAAGGUACCCCUACACGUCGUCCCGGGCUGAUGUAGUACUGCAACAAGCUUAAGUGUUAUAUUAAGAUCAUGAAACUGUUACUAGGCCACCACGAACGUUGCACAGAUUUGAAUACGAGGGUACAAAGGGAAAGAAAUGUCAUUGUCAUUUAAAAACAUAAUUGUAAUCCUGUAUAAAAAAGGAAAAUCUGAUUGUAAUGUAACAGCAUACAAUUGCCAAAACACAUCGACUAUAAGUUGAUCACGUUCAAGACCCUCAUCAUUCUAUAGUUCACUACAAGAUAAAAAAGGUUUAAGCUUGUAUAUUCACUUGUGCAUUCUAACCUACUAGCUUUCAGAUAACCAUAUCGAAAAACCCCAUCGUCAAAACACAAGAUAGUACUUGAAACCAAAUAUGCGAAGUAAAACAAAACUUAAUGGUGCAAAACAUAAAAACCAAGCAAUUGCAGUAAAAACCAGAACUUUGGAUAGAUAAUAACCUUGCUUUCGGCCUGGUCUUGCUGCUUUUCCAACUCUUCUCUCAGCUUUGCCUUGUCCUUAGACACCUUCAAAUCAAUAUGAUAAAGUUCAAAACACCAAGAAACACAAAGUGAGCACUAACAACACAAAUACUUCCUGCAAUCAUACAAGGCCAGAUGCAUUAAUGUCUCAAAUACUAAAUGCAGGCCCAAAGUCCCGAUUUGUUUCGGACAAAUUUCACCACAAAGAUGCACGUGAAAGAAAAACAUCAUCUUUAACAAAUAUGAAACGUGCCUCCAUUUCGAGUCAAUUCCGCAGACAGAGAUCAUCAUCGUUGCAUAAUAAACUAACCGAUUAACACAUUCUUUACACUACUACACAUGCAUACAUGAAUUUCUCAACUAAACCAACGAAAGCUGAGGCCACGAAAACACGAAAAGUCUCAAUCUUUCAACCAUAAACAUGCAUAAGCAAAUGCUAAAUGCGAAACAAGAGAGAUAUACCUGCUUGUUUUUCCUUAUCCGAGGGUGAUUAAACUUGCAAUUCGAUCCGAACUUACAAUUGCCAGUCUUCAGAUAGUACGAACAGUCUUUAGCUUCGGGCCUCAAUGGGUACUGAUUCCUUCUGCUACUCUCCUCAACAACCUUCUUAUCCACCUCACCGCCAUUCUCAUUCCCUCCGCCGCCGCUUUCCCUCUCUCUCUCCUUCUCAUUUUCCUUUUCACACUCUCUCCUCUUCUCUUCUUCUUCUUUUUCCUUUUCACACUUUCUCCUCUUCUCUUCUUCUUCUUUUUCCUUUUCACACUUUCUCCUCUUCUCUUCUUCUUCUUUAUCCUCCUUUUCCUUCAAACUCAAUAUCCGAAUCUGAUCAAUGAUGGAAGGAUCGAAGUUCCGAAUCUCAUCGAGGAAGGCGGGGUCAGACUGAAGCUCAUCAAGCACGGCGGGGUGGAGUUCCCGAAUCCAAUCAAGGAUUUCAGAAUCGAGAUCGGAUGGCGCAGGUGACGAAACAGACGGCGGAUUUAGAGGACCGUCGACUCUUUCAGAAAUUUCCGAAGAGAAAGCAGGGUCGAAGUUCCGAAUCACAUCGAGGAAGGCAGGGUCGAGAUUCCUAAUCUUAUUGAGCAUAUCGGGGUCGAGUGUCCGAAUCCAAUCAAGGAUUUCACGCUCAAGAUCGGACGGCGCAGGUGACGGAACAGACGUCGUCGGAUUUAGGGGAACUUCGACGCCUUCAGAAAAUUCCGAUUUCCGUCCAGAUUUGAAGUACUGAUAAAUUAAUACCAGCACUGACACUGACACAGGUAGGGCAAUACGCGCCGCUGAAAAAAACAUAGUUUUUGUGCUGAUGGCGGCGGCGGAUGCGGCGGCGACGGUAGCUGAAACUGGGUUGCUAGGUUUUUGCUGUGAACUUGCAACUAGCAACUACAUUAUGGAGGAAACAAACUCUCUCAUAUGAUCAAAACAUACUUUGACCGCCUAAAUCAAAGUCUGCUUUGUCUAGAGGCAUGUUUGGAUUGCUUUUCAAUUCCAAAGCUACUUUAGUAAAAGUGGAGAACCUCAUAAUAAAAGAAUAACUUACAUGGAUCGAAUACACUUUGUAUCAGCGUCUCAGUUUAAGCAAAUAUUGUUACAAUGUAACGAUAUCUUAAAUCGAUGCGUUGAUAUGUAACAUCUAUGUGUAGGUUGAGUACUCCUUUAUAAUAAUACUUAAGAUUUUGAUUCCUUCUCAUUCCGUCUCCCAAUUAAUUUGAUCAAUCGUUCCAAUUUCGAAUUAAUAAACACGUCGUGAAAGUAUUUUUAACUUUCAAACGAAAUUUUCCACUUAUUUCAGGCUGAGUCAACCCUCUUUACUCUCCAUUUUGGUUGUCCUACAAACACGUUACUUAGUAAUGUGGGUUUGCCUUUCACAUUGGUGUUGUAUAUGCAAAUUUAACCAAUGUUGCAUUCAAGAUAGACAAUGCACGUAACGUCGCCGCAAGUUCGAUACGUAACAGACGAUCCCGGCGCAGGUUUUAUCAAGAGAGAUCAACAACCGAAUCAUUUGCAGUACUCGGGAUAGGCAGCGACAACGAAAUUGAAAGGAUAUUCUUGACUAAAGUGUUUUCCGGUAAUAUGACAUGGAUGAGAAAUAAUUUACAGGUUCCAUCUCCCUUAAAUCUCACAACUAUAAAGUCUGUGUCGUCCGGUGAAGAGGUUUGAUACAUUUCUAAGAUUAAAUUACCAAAAGAGAAAGAUUACACAUGUUUGAGUGAUGCAAAUCCUGUGCUCUAGGCAAGCAUUUCAUGCAUAACUUACUGCACGGGCUGCGGCUGACUUGUAACAUCAGUUCCGUUUCUGCUCCCAGCCAUUCCUGCCCCGUUAGUGGUUGCCGAGUCACUGAAAGGAAGUUGAGGAUCAGGACCAGAUGUAGUUGAAGAUGGUAUAUGUAACGGGUGUUGGAGUUUGAAUGAAAUUUCAACUCAAAUGUGGGGUAUUGUUGGAAAUUUGAGUAGUUUGAGUAGAAAUUUCUUUGUCUCACAUUGGCCAUUUCCAAAAGAUUUUAUCACUUUAUAAGGCUUUGUCUUUUAUAGAAAGUGAUUGGAAUAAUAGGUCUGGAGACUAAAAUUGGGCUCACCCUUGGAGUUGGGCUUUGGGAUUUACUAAUUAAUUGGUAAUUAAUUAUAAUUAAUAUAUAUUUUUUUCUGUGUUUUAAAUGCCAUGCAGAUGAAUGUAUAUAUAGUGUGAUUAUACCUGUUCGCAACAUGUAUGAGGAAGGGAUGCAUCUGUUGGGAGACAUCAUAAACAUCAUUUCUGAGAGAACCACAUUAAUAUUCGCCAGAAGUCAAUUUUCCGGUGCUGAAAUUUCUGACUUAGAUCGUUGAAUCCUGAUGAAGCAGACGUCCGUAGAACUACAAGCACUGAAUAGGGGCGAAAUUUUUGUUUCAAGGACAUUGCGGUACGCAAGCCUCGAUCUUUUGUUACUCUGCUUAAUUAAUAUUUCAUCUUGUUGAGUCUCUGGAAUAUAUUUAUUCGUAUUUAUUAUUAGCAUAUUUAUUUUAUUGCGGAUUGUUGACAUAUAUCCAACAACCGGUGGUCAAAUUUACAAGCUGGCCCAAAUUUGCAAAUGCCAUAGCGACUGUGAUGUGUGCAAAUGUUCUGAUCCUGGAUUUUGAAACAAAUUUUGUGUGGUCAAUGGCGUGCAAUCAUGUAAUAUGCGAUCAAACUGAGGCUCUCAUAGAGCGGGAACAAUUGUCCUCACAUAGUAUUUCAUUUGUUUUACCUUAAUGUAUCACAAAGUGAAAACCUUUCGAAGAUCGUAUUUCCGAAAUUAUGAACUCGUAAUAAAGGGCAUGCUCAAAGAAGGGUGAACUUACCGGUCUCAAAGGCAGGCCCUUGUCACUGAGUGCGAUUGGGGCGGCUACUGCAGUGCAGUAUGACUUGUUGGAUGGUGAUAUUUGCAAUUAGAUUUAAACUUGCAAUCCCCCGUUCUUAAGAAAUAAGGUACCGUCUGGUACGCAAACGGGACGGAACGGGAUGGAAUGUGUGAAAUUCCAUCCUUAAUUUGUCGUAUAUUAUAUUAUCGAACAUAUGAUUACCAAAUUGUCCUUGAGGCAUGAACGUUGACUUUCGUUGACCGUCUCGUCGUGACGCGUAUUACUAAUUUUCUUAAUUUAUUCUUAUCGUACUCAUCGAUACGAACGCGUAGGCGCGAACGGAUUUGAAUUUGAAGUUAUAACGAAUAUUUUACAUUACGAAACGUCGAACGUUUUUCGAAUAUUUUGUGUUUCGUCUUUAGUGACCUUGUUUUGUGAGCCAUAGGGACCACAUGUUUUCUUCAUUUUUCCUCGUAACCCCUCUCUUCUCUCUUCCAUCUAUUAUUUUCUGAACACUCACUCUCUCCCUCUCUACACUCUUGGCCAUCUCUCAAACCAACCCUCCUAGAGGGGUUUCACUCAAACAAAUCACACAACAACAACCUUGGUACCACCACCAUCACUCCUAUGAACUCAGAAUUGAAAGAGGACCCUCCAAACUCGCUGCACAGCGUUCACCACUGUUCACUGAGUUUUUCGACGAGUUUCCACCUUUUUUGACGAAGGUAAGCCUCAAAACUUGUCCAAAAGUUGUAGAUCGUGUCUUGGUGUAUGUUUACAGGUAGUUUUGAGAAGUUUCGGUGAUGUUUGGACGUAGGAAUCUCAUGGGGAAAACUUCCAUAGUUUUCCCGGUGAAGACAGCCACUUUCGAGCCAUUUUCCGGCCGAACCACGACGAGUUAGUCAUCAAGAAAGGUACCAUUCUCUUCCUCUCAUCGAGAAGUAUGAUUUUCGUUUUUGAAUCACUCAAUGACGUUGAGUAUUGAAGAAGUUAUGAAUGUUUAAAGUUUACCUAGUUUACGGCGAGUUCUCCGGUUUUCCCACGGACCGGUCACACUUCAAGCCAUUUUCCGGCUAUUUUCGGCAACCAUUGGGCUUCCAAAUAGGUAUAAUCUUGUUCGACACUUUCCUAUCUUCAUUUUAUAUAUUAUGGGUCGAAUUUGGUUAAGAAACACGUGAGUUGAGAAGCUUUGAAAAUUACCCAACUUCCAGCCAAAAAUCCCAAUUUCUAGUAUAAGCUCCGACGGCUCGGCUCGGCUCAGCUUCAGCUGACUUCUCAAUCAGUGUCGACCAUUGACUGUCAACAUUGACUUUUGGGUUGACAUUUUUUGGUUUCGGCUGGGACCCCUCCUAGACUAAUUUCGACGUCCUAAUUCCAAAUAUGCGCUUCUUUUUUCCAAAUUCAAUCAUUUUAGUAGAGUUUUAUUAAUUGGUCCCUUCAUGUGCUUAGGUGCAUUUGUUAGUGGCAACCCCGUCCUCUCUAGUUAAAACGGCUCUUCGGCGAUAGAGUAUCUGUUAGUUGACCCCUUCCAAAAUGCAUGAUUUUAUUACUAGAGAUGCAUACAUGAAAAACAUGAUUUUAUGGCUACAUUUUAUGAAACGUUUAUGAGUAAAUUGGAUUUACGCUUUGUGAAAUAUCAUGCUUUAUCAAAUUUAUGUUUACUGAGAUAUUUAUGAAUAUGAUUUAUUGAUAUGAUGUUUGAGCUAUUGAGCUCCGAUGAGAUAUAUUUUGGAAAGAUUAUGUUCAUGAUUUUAUGUGCUUACUUAGUGAAUGAUACUUAUAUAUGCCUUCGGGCCGGUGAUGAAGGGCCUUUGGGCGAAUGAUACUUAUAUAUGCCUUUCGGCGAGUAUGAAGGGCCUUCGGCCGGGCGAGUGAUACUUAUAUAUGCCUUCGGGCGGGUGAUGAGGGCCUUCGGGCAAAUGAUACUUACAUAUGCCUUCCGGCGAAUGAAAUACCACUACUAAGCACACUAUAUAUGAUAUAUGUUUUACAAAGGUUUUAUGGCAUGCUAGGGUUUUCGGAAAACCUAUUACUUAUUAUGCUAUAUGAGUUUCUAAAACUAGGGUUUAGUACGUUAAAGAAUAACUGUUUUAGUAUUACAUAUAUAUAAACUUAGUCCACUCAUGUUUUUUGUUUUGAGCCCCCUUAGGACUUAGGAACAAGGCAUACGACCCAAGCUACAAGGCAUUCCCAUAUCGGUGAAUUUGUGUCCUCUCUGCGUAGGACAUCUCUUGUAAUCGCACCUUCUGAUAUCCCUUCCACUUGUAUUUCGAAUUAGUAGUAAUACUCUGAACAUGUCAUGCAUUAUUACUUUUAAAUUGUUGGCAGUGAACUAUUAUUAUAUUUUCUAUUAAGGUUUGUACUUGAAUAUUACAUUGCGUGGUUAAGCACUAAAUUUAUAUGCAUGUUUCACAUGUUCUUGGCAUAUGCAUUCAUUAAAUGGCUUGCGUCACCCUUGAGUGUCGGCGAGCACGUGGCCAUCCCGUUGGCCUUUGGACACCGGGAUCGGAGCGUAUCAAAAUGGGACGGAACGGGACAGUUGUUCCAUUCUGCAUUUGCAGCUUCCGAGUCACAGAAAGGAAUCUGAUAAUGACGGAUGGUCAAAUCUACAGGUUGGCCCAGAACUGCAAACGCCAAAGCGGCUGUACUCUGUGCAAAUCUUCUGACCCUGGAUUGGAAACAAAUUUAGGAUGAAAGUUUAUGCAAUUGAUGGCAUGCAAUAACGAAGCACAAUAACUGAUCAAACCGAGUAUUUCAUAUAGGAGAGGCAAGAGAGGAACUGUUAGUUAAGAAUCCUUCUAUUUUGAAAGAGACAUCCAUAACUUUCAUUACAAAUUAUUUUUCGCAAGGUCAAAUGAGUCUCAGUAAUAUACAUUUUCUUGGUACAUUGCUAAUUAUCCAAGGUACACUAAAAUUUGCAAAAAGACUUCAAUUCCAAUAUUAUCCCAUCACUUAAUCAAAAUAAAAAGUUUGAAUAACAAGUGGUGGUUAGUUAUUAAUGCUGUCAAGGGUGAAAAAAUAUGCACAUUGGCAAACGGUGAACUCAUUGGCCCAAAAGAGAAUAACUUAGAACUUAAAAACCAACCUUCUGUGCUACUUGUAUCACAAAGUGAAAAACCUUUUUGAGAUCAUAAUCCAUAGUUACGAAUUCUGUAUAAAAAGAACAGUUCGAAGAAGAGUGAACUUACUGGUCUUAAAGGGAGGCCCCUGUCACUGAGUGCACAUGAGGGGGUCGCUGCAGUCUGAUUUUUUGGAUGGUGAUAUUGGCAAUUAGAUUUAUUAUCACAAUCCCCUGUUUGAGCGAAAUAGAAGCAAACAGGUUGCCCAGGUCGUUCUGGUAAUUCUUCAGCUUGCGUCUGCUGUGCAUAUUGUCCGUAGUAGUUGGUUUCAGUCACCGAGUUGUUCGUAACAUAUGGUGGAGGUGCAGGCAUGUUUCUAUGAACAUAUGGUGGAGGUGGUGGAGGUGGUGGAGGUGGAGGUGGAGGUGGAGGUGCAGGCAUGCUUGGUAGAUAUGCUGGAGCCUAAACAUGUUUUGGCCAAUACAAAAUUAGAGAGAAAAGCAUGUUUUUGAAAAUGCAAACGAGAACAGCAGUAAUUCUAUAAAUUCUACAAAAAAAAGGGGCUAUUCUUACUUAUACCCACAAACUAAUACGGAACCCAAAUAAGAAGUCUAGAUGUACCGAUGUGAAAAUGUAAGCAUAUUACCACAACUGAUGUAGACAACAAUUUGUUAUCAAUAUUCAAAUCUUCAAGAAUUUAACUUCUUUACAAAGAAUAUUAGAAUAUCACAAUAAGUCCUUAAUGUAGGACCAUAUUAUUAUUUUUAUGAGCCGAACAUGAAUAAAAAGGGCAUGAGAAGAAAAAAAAAAAAAAGAGGUCAAAACACAAAAAGAUCCGACUAUUAUCCCAAAAGAGACGGUAAUUCGCAUAUCAAAAAGUGAUGAGAGUUAUUUAAAUUUUAAACCCAAGACUUUAAUAAGGGAGUGAUGGCUAAAGUACCUGAUAACCAUUCCAUUCUGUAGUUUCAGAAUUAAUCCCUUGAGAAUUUGGCAGACCUUGUAAUGAUGCAGGCCUACCAUUACCAUACGCGGAUUGCGGGUGAGAUUCUCCAGCAGCUGUAGGAUCAGGGUGGUUAAACUUGCAGUUUAUUCCGUACUUGCAGGUCCCAGUUCGCAUAUAGUAGGAACAAUCUUUCUCCCCCUGUAAUACGUUAAAACAAUUAUUCAGCAAACAUAUGGACACAUUAAAUUGGUCCAAAAGAAUAAGAAAAUAAGCAAAGAUAAAAUCUUAAACCUUAAACAUCAUGAAUAGAUAGAAAUUCAUUCCUCAAAUU
rnacentral:lncRNA from 1 species